CCUACGGGUGGCUGCAGUGGGGAAUAUUGGACAAUGGGCGAAAGCCUGAUCCAGCCAUGCCGCGUGUGUGAAGAAGGCCUUCGGGUUGUAAAGCACUUUCAGUGGGGAAGAAAGCCUUGGGGCUAAUACCCUCGAGGAAGGACAUCACCCACAGAAGAAGCACCGGCUAACUCCGUGCCAGCAGCCGCGGUAAUACGGAGGGUGCGAGCGUUAAUCGGAAUUACUGGGCGUAAAGCGCGCGUAGGCGGUCUGAUAAGCCGGUUGUGAAAGCCCCGGGCUCAACCUGGGAACGGCAUCCGGAACUGUCAGGCUAGAGUACAGGAGAGGAAGGUAGAAUUCCCGGUGUAGCGGUGAAAUGCGUAGAGAUCGGGAGGAAUACCAGUGGCGAAGGCGGCCUUCUGGAAUGACACUGACGCUGAGGUGCGAAAGCGUGGGUAGCAAACAGGAUUAGAUACCCUGGUAGUC
rnacentral:rRNA from 1 species